rnacentral:tRNA from 1 species
GUCUCGGUAGUGUAAGGGAUAAAGCACGGUGCCCGAAUAGCAUAAGUACGGGUUCGAAUCUCAUCCGAGGCC